AGUACAUAUAAAACAUGGAAGGUCAACGGAUCCAGGCCGAGCGACCGGGCUGCUUCGCUGCUCGGCCCCAGAGCGGAGCGAACGAGUGAGGCGGUGCUGCGCGAUUUGAUUGUAAAUGCAUCAUAAAGAGGCAGCCCAGAAUGAAGAAAGCAAGCAGGAGUGUUGGCUCAGUGCCUAAGGUGUCUGGGGCAAGUAAAACACAAACAGUAGAGAAAAUUAAGCCUGAAAACAGCUCUUCAGCAUCUACAGGAGGAAAAUUGGUAAAACCUGGAACUUCAGCAUUAUUGUCAAAGACCAAGAGCAGUGAUGAUCUUUUAGCUGGAAUGGCUGGAGGGGUAGCAGUGACUAAUGGUGUUAAAGGAAAAAAAAGUACCUGCCCAUCUGCAGCAUCCUCAGCAUCUGCCCCUGCCAUGACCACUGUGGAGAACAAACCCAAGAUCAACACAGGCACAACUUCUUCAACCAAGCGGAGCACUUCUGCAGGUAACAAAGAAUCCAGUUCUACUAGAGAAAGACUACGUGAACGUACCCGACUAAACCAGAGCAAAAAACUACCUUCUGCAGGUCAGGGAGCUAACGAUGUGGCAUUGGCUAAACGUUCCCGCAGUCGCACUGCUAUGGAAUGUGAUGUUCGCAUGAGCAAGUCUAAAUCGGACAAUCAGAUCAGUGACAAAGCUGCUUUAGAAGCUAAAGUGAAAGAUCUUCUCACACUGGCAAAAACUAAAGAUGUGGAAAUUUUACAUUUGAGAAAUGAACUCCGAGACAUGCGUGCUCAACUGGGCAUUAAUGAAGAUCAUUCUGAGGGUGAUGAAAAGUCUGAGGAGAAGGAAACCAUUAUUGCUCACCAGCCAACUGAUGUGGAGUCUACUUUAUUGCAGUUGCAAGAACAAAAUACUGCCAUCCGUGAAGAACUCAACCAGUUGAAAAAUGAAAACAGAAUGUUAAAGGACAGGUUGAAUGCACUGGGCUUUUCCCUAGAACAGAGGUUAGACAAUUCUGAAAAACUGUUUGGCUAUCAGUCCCUGAGCCCAGAAAUUGCCCCCGGUAGCCAAAGUGAUGGAGGAGGAACUCUGACUUCUUCAGUGGAAGGCUCUGCACCUGGGUCAGUGGAGGAUCUCUUGAGUCAGGAUGAAAAUACACUCAUGGACCAUCAGCACAGUAACUCUAUGGACAACCUAGACAGUGAGUGCAGUGAGGUUUAUCAGCCUCUUACCUCGAGUGAUGAUGCCCUCGAUGCACCAUCAUCUUCAGAGUCAGAGGGCAUUCCAAGCAUGGAGCGCUCUCGUAAAGGGAGCAGUGGGAAUGCGAGUGAAGUGUCUGUUGCUUGCUUAACAGAAAGAAUACUCCCCUCCCCAUCUACAAACACUUUAUUUUCAUCUUUUCAUUAUCUCACAUUUUUUUCUUUUCCCUUAUUACCCUUCCC
rnacentral:lncRNA from 1 species